ACGAAGCCACGCCGGUAUACCGGUACCGCACAAUGC
rnacentral:sRNA from 1 species